GGUGUAGCUCAGUGGCAGAGCAUCUGCUUGGCGUGCAGAAGGUCUCAGGUUCAAUCCCCAGCGGCAUCC